UAGUCCACGCCGUAAACGAUGGAUGCCAGCUGUCGGACAGUUUACUGUUCGGUGGCGCAGUUAACGCAUUAAGCAUCCCGCCUGGGGAGUACGGUCGCAAGACUAAAACUCAAAGAAGUUGACGGGGGCCCGCACAAGCGGUGGAGCAUGUGGUUUAAUUCGAUGCAACGCGCAGAACCUUACCAGCUCUUGACAUCCCGGUCGCGGUUUUCAGAGAUGAAUUCCUUCAGUUAGGCUGGACCGGUGACAGGUGCUGCAUGGCUGUCGUCAGCUCGUGUCGUGAGAUGUUGGGUUAAGUCCCGCAACGAGCGCAACCCUCGCUUUUAGUUGCCAGCAUUCAGUUGGGCACUCUAAAGGGACUGCCGGUGAUAAGCCGGAGGAAGGUGGGGAUGACGUCAAGUCCUCAUGGCCCUUAUGGGCUGGGGCUACACACGUGCUACAAUGGCGGUGACAAAGGGCAGCUACUCUGCAAGAGAUGCUAACCCCAAAAAGCCGU
rnacentral:rRNA from 1 species